UUAGGGGAAAGUUGAUGCAGGAUCCCAGAAGGGUAGAGUUGAAUCUAGGAAUUGCCAAGAGGAGUCAGAGCCAAACUUGGCUCCCACCAUCUCGCCAGCAGUUUCCAUAAUUAACUUACAACGGAAGUUAACGAAAGGGCUUGAGUGUUGAGAUGGAAGGUGUGCGUGUGUUUCCCUUACAUAUGGUGUCUUACUAGCGAACUGAAGAUAAAGAGUCAGCAAACAUCUGAACUGAGUUCCUCUGGCCGUGUGAAGAGUCAGGUGAUUUUCCUUUUCCUUCUAUCAAAGAAACUGCCAACAGCCUCCUGCUACAGACGUCUAGAACUCUCUGCCUGUGGGAUUUUUAUGGACCUCUACUGUAGAUCAACAGUACUGAGAGAUGAGGAAGCUGAGGCAUGAAGAGGUGGAGUUACCUGCAGGAGAGCAUACAGUUAGUAAGCACCACCCCGAUGACUUGAGCAUGGACAGGCUGACUCCAGGAUGCACGUGAUUUACCCCCCACACCCCACGGACACCGUCAUGUGCAAAAAAACCCAUGCUCCUUCUUGCUGUUUUGUCUGUAUCCUCACCAUUUAGAACAGUGUUUUGCACGCAGUGGCUACUUUUAAAAAUGUUGAGUAAAUGCAUGAAUCUAUAUAUUUUCAAGAAAAUCCACGUUCAUAUGGUUUGUUGUCUAUACGCACACAAUGUAAAA